rnacentral:guide_RNA from 1 species
AUAGAUGGUGUGAUUAGAGCGUUAUAAU